UACUCCUUUAUUGUCUGCCUUCCCUUCUCCUCCCAAGUAGAAUGAGGGCAAGGCCUUGCCGAUCUUAUCCACUGUAUCCCCAGAAUACAAAACAGGGACAGACAUAUAACUGGUGCUUCAUCCAUGUUUCUUGGCCGAGGUUCCGCAAAUAUGCCCGCUGUCACCUGUGGCUCCCACCUGGGCCAUGCUGCUUCUUCCACCUGACACGCCUUCAGCACCCCAGCCCACCUCCACCUCCAUCCCACUAUCUGCCUGGCAAUUGGGCAUUUACUGUUAGUUGAGGACUCACUUUAAACACUACCUGUUUGUGAUGCCUUCCUUAUCUCCCCCAGAUUAGGCAUGACCUUCUGUGUGUCCUCCUCUCCUAACACUGUUGUCAUGACUAUCUACGAGCCCAGCAAGGGCAAGAAUUGUGUCAUAUUUAUUCCAACAUGCUCGAUGCCUGGCAGAUGGCAGGCGCUAAAUAAAUAUUUAUUGAUGAACUCUGACUACACCCUGGAGAGGCCCACAGAGUCUAAUGCCCUGAGCCACCUUCGCAUCUUUCCUUGGCCCCCUCUGUUCUCUCAUAUGGAGCUCAUCUUCUAGGCAAAGAAAACAUCAUUCACCUGCCAUCUUCAGAGACCAUGUUUUUUAGCAGUAGUGUUUCUUCCAGUGUGAACACCUUUCCAACCAUCACCCUCUCUUAUAACUCAUCUCAGCUGCCACUUACUGCAUGAGCUUCCAUCCCUGAGCCUGAACAAAUCCUGCCUGCUUCUGUGAUUCCCAUCAUUGUCCUUCUCCCAAGCAAAUUCUGCUUUUCAGUGCAGUCCCACACCUACUCAGUAACAGCUGCUUAACAGAAAUGUGCUGCCUGUUAUUUCAGUAGAUAUAAACCCUUUCUGGCCACUAGCCCCCCCUGAAACCAAACAUAAUGCCUACUCACAGUCCACAAAGUGUACGUGGUAACUUGAAUAUCGUGUGAAGGAGCCAAUAGCUCCCUGAUGUGACUACCCAUGUAACUACCCCAGGAGAAUGUACCCAGGAUGUGGGUCCACACUCUACGCAGGGAGGUAGAGCACUGGGCAACUCAGCCCUGCUCUGGACACCCUCCCCAUGUGCCCACCCACCUUGCUCUUUCUUUGCUGUCUGCUUGCCCAGCCCAGCCCAGCUUUCUGGCUUGCACACUUCGAUGUGUCC
rnacentral:lncRNA from 1 species